GCCAGCGUGGUGUAGUGGUUUGAGUGUUGGUCUAUGACUCUGGAGACCAGGGUUCGAAUCCUUGUUCAGCCA
rnacentral:tRNA from 1 species